CGAUGUUCACUUGGAGAUCGGCGGCUAUAAUGCAGUCGUACGGCAGCACGGGUAGCAAUACCUGGUGGCGAGUGGCGCACGGGUGCGUAACGCGUAUGCAACCUACCCUUAACAGAGACAUAACCUGGCGAAAGCUGGGCUAAUAUUGAUUGAGGUUAUAGAGGGGCAUCCCUAAAUAAUCAAAGCAGCGAUGUGGUUAAGGAUGGGCAUGCGUCCCAUUAGCUAGUUGGUGAGGUAACGGCUCACCAAGGCGACGAUGGGUAGGGGUUCUGAGAGGAAGGUCCCCCACACUGGUACUGAGACACGGACCAGACUCCAACGGGAGGCAGCAGUAAGGAAUAUUGGGCAAUGGUCGGAAGACUGACCCAGCCAUGCCGCGUGCAGGAAGAAGGCCCUAUGGGUUGUAAACUGCUUUAGCCAGGGGCUAAACCUACCGAUGCGUUGGUAGCUGAAGGUACCUGGAGAAUAAGCAUCGGCUAACUCCGUGCCAGCAGCCGCGGUAAUACGGAGGAUGCGAGCGUUAUCCGGAUUUACUGGGUUUAAAGGGUGCGCAGGCGGUUGUUUAAGUCAGGGGUGAAAGCCCUAUGCUCAACAUAGGGAUUGCCUUUGAUACUGAACGGCUAGAGUGAAGAUGGAGUGGGUGGAAUGUGUUGUGUAGCGGUGAAAUGCAUAGAUAUAACACAGAACACCGAUCGCGAAGGCAGCUCACUAAUUUUCAACUGACGCUCAUGCACGAAAGCGUGGGGAUCAAACAGGAUUAGAUACCCUGGUAGUCCACGCUGUAAACGAUGAUCACUAGCUGUUGGUACGCAGAAGUAUCAGUGGCUAAGCGAAAGUGAUAAGUGAUCCACCUGGGAGUACGACCGCAAGUUGAAACUCAAAGGAAUUGACGGGGCCGCACAAGCGGAGGAGCAUGUGGUUUAAUUCGAUGAUACGCGAAGAACC
rnacentral:rRNA from 1 species